ACCUGGCUUGCUCAGUUGGUAGAGCACAUGACUCUUGAUUUCAGGAUCGUGAGUUCAAGCCCCACGUUGGGUG
rnacentral:tRNA from 1 species